rnacentral:rRNA from 1 species
UACGUAGGGGGGCAAGCGUUGUCCGGAAUCAUUGGGCGUAAAGCGCGCGUAGGCGGCCCGGUAAGUCCGUUGUGAAAGUCAAAGGCUCAACCUUUGAAUGCCGAUGGAUACUGCCGGGCUAGAGUCCGGAAGAGGCGAGUGGAAUUCCUGGUGUAGCAGUGAAAUGCGUAGAGAUCAUGAGGAAGACCAGUGGCGAAGGCGGGUCUCUGGACAGUUCCUGACGCUGAGGCACGAAGGCCAGGGGAGCAAACGGG